UGUUAGGUGGCUGAGUUAUAAGCGAUAGACUGUAGAUCUAUUUACGGAAUUAAAUUUUCCCAACAA
rnacentral:tRNA from 1 species